AUUGAACGCUGGCGGCAGGCCUAACACAUGCAAGUCGAAUGGUAACAGGAAACAGCUUGCUGUUUCGCUGACGAGUGGCGGACGGGUGAGUAAUGUCUGGGAAACUGCCUGAUGGAGGGGGAUAACUACUGGAAACGGUAGCUAAUACCGCAUAACGUCGCAAGACCAAAGAGGGGGACCUUCGGGCCUCUUGCCAUCAGAUGUGCCCAGAUGGGAUUAGCUAGUAGGUGGGGUAACGGCUCACCUAGGCGACGAUCCCUAGCUGGUCUGAGAGGAUGACCAGCCACACUGGAACUGAGACACGGUCCAGACUCCUACGGGAGGCAGCAGUGGGGAAUAUUGCACAAUGGGCGCAAGCCUGAUGCAGCCAUGCCGCGUGUAUGAAGAAGGCCUUCGGGUUGUAAAGUACUUUCAACGGGGAGGAAGGGAGUAAAGUUAAUACCUUUGCUCAUUGACGUUACCCGCAGAAGAAGCACCGGCUAACUCCGUG
rnacentral:rRNA from 1 species